UCUUCGAUGGCGAAAUGGUCACCGCGCCUGGCUGUUAUGGCUUUCCCUAUUACCAGGAGAUUCUCAGUUCAAGUCUGAGUCGAAGAG